rnacentral:rRNA from 1 species
UACGUAGGGGGCGAGCGUUGUCCGGAUUUAUUGGGCGUAAAGAGCGUGUAGGCGGCCAGGCAGGUCUGCUGUGAAAACUCGAGGCUCAACCUCGAGACGUCGGCGGAAACCGUCUGGCUAGAGUCCGGAAGAGGAGAGUGGAAUUCCUGGUGUAGCGGUGAAAUGCGCAGAUAUCAGGAAGAACACCCGUGGCGAAGGCGGCUCUCUGGGACGGUACUGACGCUGAGACGCGAAAGCGUGGGGAGCGAACAGG